rnacentral:rRNA from 1 species
ACGAACGCUGGCGGCGUGCUUAACACAUGCAAGUCGAACGAGGGCGCAAGCCCGAGUGGCGGACGGGUGAGUAACACGUGGGUAACCUGCCUCUUAGUGGGGGAUACCCGCCCGAAAGGGCGGCUAAUACCGCAUAAGCUCCCUGGUUGAAACACCCGGGAGGAAAGAUUUAUCGCUAGGAGAGGGGCUCGCGUCCGAUUAGCUAGUUGGUGAGGUAACGGCUCACCAAGGCGACGAUCGGUAGCUGGUCUGAGAGGACGAUCAGCCACACUGGAACUGAGACACGGUCCAGACUCCUACGGGAGGCAGCAGUGGGGAAUUUUCCGCAAUGGGCGAAAGCCUGACGGAGCAACGCCGCGUGGAUGAUGACGCCUUUCGGGGUGUAAAAUCCUUUCAGCAGGGACGAAGCGAGUGACGGUACCUGCAGAAGAAGCAUCGGCUAACUACGU